GUUUAUUUGUUAACCUGCCUUCAGUACACAGUAAGGGGCUCCCAGAAGCAGGAACCAUGUCUAUUCACCAACACACCUCUGUAGCCCAUAACACCCCCUAGCACAUGAUGGGGCCUCAGGAAAUAUUUGUAAAAGGAGAGACCAAAGGGAAAGAGAAAGGAGAAAAAGAAAAAAAGAAAGGGAAAGGGAAAGAAAGAGACACUUGUUGAGAGGAACAAAGGAAGAAAGAUAAGAAAAUUAGAGUUGGAAUUUCACUUUUACAACUUUCAUUGGCUGAAUACUUAAAAAAAAAAAAAAUAGUGCGAUUGUAGAACAAAACCCAGAGACGGAAAAUCCCUCGGCUCCAAUGCACGGCUGAACGCCUCACCAACCGGUGCACGCCACCGAGCCCAGGAGGAAGACCUGGGCCAGCCGCCCCACCAGGCUCUCCCCGCGUCUCCCCCUCCCCCGAGCAUUCUUCCUUGAGUCACUGCCAACUUGCUCUUCCUGACCCAGAGAGGAAGAUUUGCCCCAGAUCCAAAGAAUGGUUCAGCAAUGCCCUGGUCCAGCAUGUGACUGGGCUGCCUUACGAAGACAGGCAGCUUAUACUUCUUCUCAGAAGGGAGCUGCUGUGUAAGAAGUCUGUCUCCUCCGAAACUACCAUGCUGUGAGGACACUGAGCGGGCCACAUGGGGAGAGAGACACAGGCUGUGUGGAGGAGCGCUGAGGUGCCACACUUCGGAGGGAAGCCUUCUUGGGCUUUCCAGCCCAGCCCAGCCCCCCUGCCAGCUGAAGGCAGCAGAAUGACUAGCCUCACCUGAUGCCAUAUGGAAGAGAGGAGCCUUCCAGAUGUGUCCUGUCAAUCCACAAAUUUGUGAGGAAUAAUACCUUUUUGCUGUUUUAAGUCAUUAAGUUUAGAGAUGGUUUGUUAUACAGCAGAUAAAUUAAUAGAUAAAUGAAACUCUUUCUCUAUAAUACAUAUUUUAUGUACAAUGUGUAUAAUGUUGACUUUUCCUUAAAAGAUUUUAUUUUUAAGUAAUCUCUACACCCAGCGUGGGACUAGAACUUACAACCCUGAGAUUGAGAGUCGCAUGCUCCAUCAGC
rnacentral:lncRNA from 1 species